rnacentral:miRNA from 1 species
AGAGGUAGUAGUUUGUGUAGU